UACGAAGGGAGCUAGCGUUGUUCGGAAUCACUGGGCGUAAAGCGCACGUAGGCGGAUGUGUCAGUCAGGGGUGAAAUCCCGGAGCUCAACUUCGGAACUGCCUUUGAUACAGCACAUCUGGAGUCCGGAAGAGGUGGGUGGAAUUCCUAGUGUAGAGGUGAAAUUCGUAGAUAUUAGGAAGAACACCGGUGGCGAAGGCGCCCACUGGUCCGGUACUGACGCUGAGGUGCGAAAGCGUGGGGAGCAAACAGG
rnacentral:rRNA from 1 species